CCGCCGGCGACCGGCGCACGGGUGAGUAACACGUAUGCAACCUGGCCGUGACAGGAUGGAUAACCGGGAGAAAUCCCGCCUAAUACAACAUAAUGCCGGAGGGGACAUCCCCUGCCGGCCAAAGGGGGCGACCCCGGUCACGGAUGGGCGAUGCGGCGCAUUAGGUAGUUGGUGGGGCAACGGCCCACCAAGCCGACGAUGCGUAGGGGUUCUGAGAGGAAGGUCCCCCACAUUGGAACUGAGACACGGUCCAAACUCCUACGGGAGGCAGCAG
rnacentral:rRNA from 1 species